rnacentral:rRNA from 1 species
ACCGGAGGCUCGAGUGGUGGCCACUAUUAAUUGGCUUAAAGCGUUCGUAGCUUAGUUGUUAAGUCUUUUGGGAAAUCUUCCGGCUCAACCGGAAGGCGUCUCAGGGAUACUGGCAGGCUAGGGACCGGAAGAGGUGAGAGGUACUCCAGGGGUAGGAGUGAAAUCCUGUAAUCCUUGGGGGACCACCUGUGGCGAAGGCGUCUCACCAGGACGGCUCCGACAGUGAGGAACGAAAGCUGGGGGAGCAAACCG